rnacentral:rRNA from 1 species
UAGCGGCAGGCUUAACACAUGCAAGUCGAGGGGUAACAGGGUGCUUGCACCGCUGACGACCGGCGAACGGGUGCGUAACGCGUAUAGAAUCUGCCUUGUACAGGAGGAUAGCCUUUAGAAAUGAAGAUUAAUACUCCAUAAUGUUGGGAAGUGGCAUCACUAUCUAACUAAAGAUUUAUCGGUACAAGAUGACUAUGCGUCCUAUUAGCUAGAUGGUAAGGUAACGGCUUACCAUGGCAACGAUAGGUAGGGGGUCUGAGAGGAUUAUCCCCCACACUGGUACUGAGACACGGACCAGACUCCUACGGGAGGCAGCAGUGAGGAAUAUUGGUCAAUGGAGGCAACUCUGAACCAGCCAUGCCGCGUGCAGGAAGACUGCCCUAUGGGUUGUAAACUGCUUUUAUACAGGAAGAAACAGUCGUACGUGUACGGCCUUGACGGUACUGUAAGAAUAAGCACCGGCUAACUCCGUGCCAGCAGCCGCGGUAAUACG